UGCUGGAAAUGGAACUUGGGGCCCAGUGCAUGCUGGAUGUAAGAGUUUCUUACAUAUCCUUCAUACAAAUAUCAGGACUCUGCCAGGAAGAAGACCAUCACCCCAUGCAGUUUCUCAACCUUGGACCAGAGCUAAGUGUCAAAAUAAACAAACAAACUGGACCUACCUGAUGGUGAUAGAACACCCGAGACAAUGAAUGCAGCACAGAUCAUGGAUUUCCACAUGGUUUCUGGUGACAUCAUGGACUGUGGACAUCCAUAAGGCCUCCAACAGCAGAACAGAUUACAGACCUCAGCAUGGUCUCCAGUGACAGCACAGACCACGAACAUCAACACAGCCCUCAGCUGAAGCACAGACCACCAACAUUAUCCUGGCCCCUGGCAGCAGCACGAGCCCACGGACAUCAGCAUGGCCUCUGGCAUCAACACAAGCCAUGGAAACCAGCAUGCCCCCCAGUGGCAGCAUGGCUCAAGGGCAUCAACAUGACUUUAGGCCUCAGCACAGACCGUGGACAUCAACAUGGCCUUUGGUGGUACCAGGGACCAUCAACAUGGCCUCUAGCAGGAGCACAGACCACGGAUAUCCACCUGGCCUCUGGCUGCAAUAUGGAUCACAGAACUCAACAUGGCUUCCAGCAGCAUCGAAGACCAUGGACAUCAAUGGCCCUUGGCUGCAGCAUGGACCACAGACACCAUCAUAGCCCUUGGUGGUAGUACAUCUAAUUUUAAUCAUAUGCAAUCACAAUUUUGCAUAGG